rnacentral:rRNA from 1 species
GGAUCAUCAGGUUGGUCGUGCCACUGGUAUGUACUAGCUUUGGUGAUUCCUCCCUCUUGAAGAACCGUAAUGUCAUUAAUUUGGUGUUGCGGGGAAUCAGGACUGUUACUUUGAAAAAAUUAGAGUGUUUAAAGCAGGCAAACGCUUGAAUACAUUAGCAUGGAAUAAUGAAAUAGGACGUUUGAUCUUAUUUUGUUGGUUUCUAGGAUCGACGUA